GAAAUUGAGUUUUGUUUUCAGCUCCACAUGACUACAAGAAAGCUUUCGUCAGACCAACCAGUGAAACUGACAGAUUUACUUCCUCACUCACUCAGUCCAGCAGUGAUUACUUUGAGAUCUUAAAGAGGAAAUAUUGUGUUUGAUAGAAACACAAUACACAAUAUAUUUUUUUAGCUGUCAAACUUAGUGUAUAAAUUGACUUGACUAGAUAGUAUCACAUGACUAGUUUACAUCACUUGACAUAUACACAGAGAAGAACAAUAAAUUGAAUGUAAACUGAUUGGUCAGUUUGCAUGUGAAGCUGUACAGCAAGUCGCUACACAAUUAUAAAUAGUAUAAUGUCAUACCUAACACAUUUUUUUAUUUUCUUUUUUCGAUUAAAAAAUGUGUUGGUUUGGAAAUGUGUGAUGUGCAUAAUUAUCUCCCUAUCAAUUUCCAAUCUGGGUUUUAAUCACUAGACAAUUGAUUGCUUGUUCAAAACGUUGCACCAGUAUGUUAGUUCAGUCUGUAGAAAUGAAAUAGUCUAGUAAGUGGUACUUAAUAUAGUGCUCAUUGAACACCAGUAUGUUAGUUCAGUCUGUAGACAUGAAAUAGUCUAGUAAGUGGUACUUAAUAGAGUGCUCAUUGAACAGCAGUAUGUUAGUUCAGUCUGUCGAAAUGAAAUAGUGUAGUAAGUGGUACUUAAUAGAGUGCUCAUUGAACACCAGUAUGUUAGUUCAGUCUGUAGAAAUGAAAUAGUGUAGUAAGUGGUACUUAAUAGAGUGCUCAUUGAACAGCACAAUAUCUACCUCUUGGUGGGAAGAUAGAAACAUACAAGCCCAAUAUAAAAAAAAUAUCAAAUCACAAAGAAUUUUGAAUUUCUUUUUUAGAUUUAUAAAAAUUUAAAUGUCUAGUAGAAUAAAUGUUGUUAAUUACUUAACUUCAGAACAGUUAUUCCUCUAUGACAGCCCUUUGAACAGCUUAUAGAAUACUUCUGUUUCUAAAUAUCUCAAUAGAACACAUGUGUGACAUUUCUCUCUUCUUGUUAUGCAUUGCUUCUCUACCUGAGCAGAAUUGUGUUUUUUCCAGUUUUGGAUAGCACACUGUUUUUUAAAUGGUGUGUAACUUUGAGUUGUAACAUUUGAUUCUUGAGGCUUACCAUAAUAAGGCUUUGUCUUAAGUGGGGUAAGAAUGAAUGCAGUUAAUGGUGAAUUGAUUGGUGAUAAAUAUCCCACAUUAAAAUGUGUGGAAACUUAUUUUGUGCAACAAUAUCAUCGUAUGUACAAAUAUUUUCCUAAAUUUUUUUAUAGAAUAUCAAAAGAACAAAGAAACAAGUAUAUUCUGAAAUAGAAUUAAUAGCUAAUCUGUGUCAAUAUUAUUAAUAAUUUUUUUUACAAUCACUAUAAGUUGACAUUGAUAAGUGUCAAUCUUAAGUUUUGUUUUUACCGUCCAUUGCAUAUAUCAAUAUAGAUAUAUAUAUGUGUUGUUGUUUUUACUUUAACAUUAUACAUAAUAUACAGUUUAUUAUUAAGCCUUCCAUAUCAAAGUUAAUUGUUUUUUUAUUUAACUAUACAUGGUUAAUAAAUACACAAAGAUCUGAUAUAUGAUACCUGUACUUCACAUGUUAUUUUUCUGGUUCUUACUUAUGUACUAAUCCGUCCAUAAUUAUUUUUGUGUAGCUUAUAAAAAUUUGACGUUGAUAUUUCAAAAGGUUCUAUCUAUAUUAAGAAACUUGAAUAUUUGGUAUUAUAGUACAUUAUUCUGUUGCUAGACAACAUGCAAUCAAGAAAAGAUUGAACUAGAUAAAUGAGUGGUUAUUGCCAUCCCCUUCUAUUGGAUUCACAUAUUUAGGAAAUGAUGCAUUGCAAGCUAACUCACAGAAAUACAUGGAUAUUUAUUCUAAUAUGUAAAAGAAAGGGGCAAUUGAAAUAAGAAUUUAAGGCCCAGGUUUGAGGGACACAAUAUUUAUGACCACUGCAAAAAUCUGAGAAAUAUUCCUCAAAGUUUUAUUGAGCUGAGUGAAAUGGUGUUAAUUUCUAUAAAUAAUUAUUUAUAGACAACCUUACAAUUUUAGUUAUUAACUAAUAAAAUUCUACUUAUUCUAUUACUUCUAAUCAUUCUGAAAUAAAAAUUGUCUUAUUGAUUUUAAUGCUCCUUUACAUUUCUUUUUUUUUUAGUUAAUACUAAUGUACUGAUAACAAGCACAAGUCUGACAAUGUAUUAAACGUUAUAAUAUACAGCAUUUUUAUUUUUUUUAGCCUUGUUGAUUUAUUGUUAAUGUUACUUUUUAUUAAAAAAUCAUAAAAAUAAUUAAAAUAAUAAUAACAUUUAAAGAAAAUGAAAUCAGCUAAGAUGUGUGAGGUAACUCUUAUACCAUUCUUAUCAAACUACUCCUAAUUUUUAUCAUAUGAAACAGCUAACCACUAGCCAGACUGAAUUUUAUUUUCAGCACUUUAAUUUUAUUAUUCAUCUUUUUCUUACAAACUAAUUCUCUGUCUAGCAAGAUUUGUACUAAGAAUUAAUUUGAGGAAAUAUUUUCCAUCUCAUAUUUUUCUUUAAAAAUUAUUCUUUUAGAAACUUUGAUUACUAAAUGACUGUACGAAUUUUGGCUUCUAGUAGUAUUGUAAUUAGCUGUACUGUAAUUAUAGAUACUUGGAUUAUAAAAUAAACUUCUCUAGUGAUUAAAUAAUAGCUGACUUGUAAAGGUCCAUUCCAAUCAUUAAUACUGAGUAAUUAGAAAUCUAGACUUUCUGAGAUUAGUACUGAAGAAUGGAAAUCUAGACUUUCAGACAUUAGUACUGUGUGAAUAGAAAUCUUGAAUUUUAGAAAGUAGUUGAAUAGUUAAUAACAGAGAAGUAAAAAGUGUAUCUUUAGAGUUGAGACAAUUUUCUAUAGUUGCUUAUAGUAUGCUCAUGUAUGUAGCGUUCAGAGUGUCACCAAGUGUAUUCAAGUCUUUGUAAUAUCACAAUAUCGUAUUAAAGACAAGUAUUCUAAC
rnacentral:sRNA from 1 species